ensembl:snoRNA
GAGCUGGCCGGUUAAUCUGGUUAUCUGAAAGUGUUUCCUCAGACAUUUAGAAACAGCUGGCAAUAGUGAUGCCGUUACAUGAGGCUUAAGGACAACUGAGGUCAUUACAAUCUUUUUAAAUGGCUACAAUA